rnacentral:lncRNA from 1 species
UUCUAAAUUCAUAGCUUUGAUUUCGUAGCUAUAGAUGCACUUUGUUGUAGUGUUUAUAAUUUGUUCUCUUCAUAUAAGACCAAAAAAUUAGUCAUGGAGAAUAGAUGUAUAAUGGGCACAACUUCAUGCAUUUACAGUGGCUAUCUAUGUAUUGCAUACCUUCCCAUUUUAUAGUCUGUGGCAGGCUUCUGAAAUGUGGAAAAUUGCAAAUCCUAACCAGUAUAGGUUGUUUGAGGCAUCGCAAAUGAUUGGUGGGGAGUCCGUUUUGGUGUGCUCUGCUCAAACUUGAUGAAGUAUUUGCUGCUGGGAAUCUGUGAUAUAUUUAUUUUUUAAGCAAUUUGUGUGAGAGUUCAAAGUUGAUCUUUUUUUUUUUUUGGAGAAUAUUUUUGUGAAAAAAGAUAAGGAAGUUUCAGAUAAGAAAAAGUUUGUAAUAACUGAAAGUUACAAAACUAUUACUGUUAGCCUUCUUCAGUUUGGUUUACUUCCCUCUAAUGCAUCUCUAUUCGUCUUCUUCUUGGUGCUUUGCCUCUGCAUGGUUAUUUAUUGCAUGUUGCUUGGAAAAUCCAUGCAAGUUUUGAUCAUUGUCUUGGUGUAUUAUGUUGUAACCCUUUCUCGGUGUCGUCUUCUGAAUCUUAGAAAGUAGUCUUGUAGAGCAGUAAAUAUGGUAAGAGCUAUAACGUACAAUACUUGCUGUGUCAUGUUAUGAGUCGGAGGUCUACCAAAAACAACCUCUCUACCUAUUCGGAGGUAGUGGUAUGGACUGCGUACAUUUUACCCUCCCCAAAAUCCACUAUGUGGGAAUACACUGGGUAUGUUGUUGUUGUUGUGUGAUGUUAUUUGCUGGAAAGUGGUGAGCAGUAACAGAAAUGAUGUCUUUCUGUCAUAGAGGUUCUUUAAUUUGUUCUCAACAGCCAUAUGGCUUUAGACAUUAAUUAGCAAUAUCUGGUGAUAGUUGAGAUUAGUAAUAGUAGCAUGUUUUCAGUAAAAAAUUGUGAGUUUAAUCUGAAAAACAUGUGCAGAAUAUGUCAGUUUUCCUGGUGUAAUCCC